rnacentral:rRNA from 1 species
UACGAAGGACCCGAGCGUUAUCCGGAUUUAUUGGGUUUAAAGGGUGCGUAGGCGGACUAGUAAGUCAGUGGUGAAAGCCCAUCGCUUAACGGUGGAACUGCCAUUGAUACUGCUAGUCUUGAGUAUGGUUGAGGUGGGCGGAAUGUGUCAUGUAGCGGUGAAAUGCUUAGAUAUGACCCAGAACACCAAUUGCGAAGGCAGCUCGCUAAGCCAUAACUGACGCUGAUGCACGAAAGCGUGGGGAGCAAACAGG